CAGCACGCCGCGUGAAGGAUGAAGGCCCUUGGAUCGUAAACUUCUGUCAGAGGGGAAGAAAUACUCGCAAGAGACCAUGACGGUACCCUCAAAGGAAGCACCGGCUAACUCCGUGCCACCAGCCGCGGUAAUACGGAGGGUGCAAGCGUUGUUCGGAAUUACUGGGCGUAAAGAUCAUGCAGGCGGUCUGUUUAGUCUGGUGUGAAAUCCCGGGGCUCAACCCCGGAAGUGCAUUGGAUACUGGCAGACUUGAGUAUGGGAGAGGAAAGUGGAAUUCCGAGUGUAGGAGUGAAAUCCGUAGAUAUUCGGAGGAACACCAGUGGCGAAGGCGGCUUUCUGGACCAAUACUGACGCUCAGAUGCGAAAGCGUGGGGAGCAAACAGGAUUAGAUACCCUGGUAGUCCACGCCGUAAACGAUGGGUACUAGGUGUUGCGGGUAACCACUCCUGCAGUGCCGCAGCUAACGCAUUAAGUACCCCGCCUGGGGAGUACGGCCGCAAGGCUAAAACUCAACGGAAUUGACGGGGGCCCGCACAAGCGGUGGAGCAUGUGGUUUAAUUCGACGCAACGCGAAGAACCUUACCUGGGUUUGACAUCCCGAUCGUACAUUAUGGAAACAUAGUGGUCAGCUCGGCUGGAUCGGUGACAGGUGCUGCAUGGCUGUCGUCAGCUCGUGUCGUGAGGUGUUGGGUUAAGUCCCGCAACGAGCGCAACCCUUGUCCUUAAUUGCCAUCAUUAACCUUGGGCACUCUAGGGGAGGCUGCCGGUGUUAAACCCGAGGAAAGGGGGGGAUAACAUCAAGUCCUCAUGGCCC
rnacentral:rRNA from 1 species